GGGCGACACACACGCUACAAUGGCCGGUACAAUGGGGCGGCCAACCCGCGAGGGGGAGGCCAAUCCGUCAAAGCCGGUCUCAGUUCGGAUUGCAGGCUGCAACCCGCCUGCAUGAAGUCGGAGUUGCUAGUAACCGCAGGUCAGCCAUACUGCGGUGAAUACGUUCCCGGGCCUU
rnacentral:rRNA from 1 species